rnacentral:sRNA from 1 species
GGUUUCCUUUCUAUUAUAGAGAUCCAGGAAAAGUGAGAUCCACUUCUUAUUGACAUUUAUAUACCUAGCAUCCAGCACAGGUGCUCAAUUAGUAGCCGGAGAAUAAAUAAAUGCAAUAGGUAAGUGGGGAAUGAAUAUAUACCCAGGUCCCAGAGAAUACAGACUCAUAUGCAAAAGGCCUAGAAAGCCACAUACAGAGAGGUAAAUGAGAUGAGAUUAUUUUUGUCAUUUGGUUGUUUCUUGGAUUUAGAGGUCAUCACCCUCACUCAGGACAACUCCCCUAAGCUGUGAGCAGGAAAUACCUCAAUAUCAGGCCCAAUGGCCCAGAUUGAAGACAUAAUCCUUUGGCCCAGGACUCACCAAUAGAUUCCAGAAGGCACGGUGUGGGUGGCCUUCCACUAUCAAUCAAUGGUUGGGCGUCUCUGUUUGUGACUCCUUGCCACCCAAGCUUAUAGGUCUCUCAGAUGCAGCCUGUAUGGAGACCUUUGGCCAUCAGACCUUCACAGUUUCUAACCACCCACCAGGAGACUCGGGAAGUAUCCAUAAAAACUUGCUUUUAUGGCUACUACACCCCCUUGAGUAUGGUCAUUAGGAUUAUUUAGCGUUUAUGAGACACCCUUUGUGUAGCAAGGCCAAGGGGAAGGCAAUUUGGCAGCCUCAACACAAACGGAUGUUUCUAUGUAACCCCACUCUGAGGCUGAUCCUUCCCAGUGAGAUUAGUUCAUUUCAACCUCAAUGAGGAGCUCAUAGGCUAGGACAAAGUUUUUCUCUCCUCCUGUAUGUUAAUCUAGGCAUCUCCAAAGGAACCCUAAUCAGAACCCAGAGGAGAGAAACUUCCAAUGACCUUUGUAAGACAAAUGCUUGUGUUGACUCAUGCUCUGAGUGGCAUUGCUGAGCAAAGUCCUUCAUUCUUUUUAUCUCACUUAGUGACGUAUACACCUGACUUGAUGCCAGACCUUGUGUCCGGUCUCGACACUGUAGAGGUUUAUAAGCCAGCUUGUACCCACAGAGCUUAGAUGUGACUGGAAGGUAGACAUGGGAAUAGAAAUAUAAAACAGAUAAUGUAUUAGAGCCAAGUCCACCAAGUGUGGAGGCCUAGUGAGCAAGACAGGGUAGGAAGGUUUUCCAGGAGGGUAAGCCUAGAUGUCAUUGAAUGGAUAAUGAGUUUGUCGAUGCUUUCAUGUGGACCUUUGCAGGAAGAUGGACUGGCUGAGCACAGCCAAAGUUUUGAGACUCCAAUGAGAAGCUGCUUGCAAUGUGGCCGAACUCCAGUUUGGAUUCGAAGAAUAUAGGUCAACAGCAAGACACACGAAGGGCCUGCAAAUUGGCUUCCUGGAGGCGAGCUCCCACCCCAGCAUGCUGGAGCUGCUCAUCAUUCCAGGGAUGGCGUCACCCGUAAUGGUCUGCAUUGUCGCCCACCAAUCAUUAAUUAAGUGCCUGAUAGCCAGUUUUUAUGGAAGCAUUUUCUCAAU